UAAGCUUUUAAUAUUUUAUAAUUUUAUAAUCUAUUUAAUCAAUCUGUUGAGCUGUAUUAAACAGGUUCAUACCUAUCUAAAAAACUAUUAUAUAACACUUCUGGAAGAUAAAUAUAACGCAUGUUUAUUAUGUAUUAGGUACGUAAACGAAACUCCGUAAAAAUGUAGUAGGUACCUUUGUACACUAUAUAUGAGCAGUGGUGUUGAUAAUUAUAUGCUAAGUAUUCCGUUUAACGUGAUACACGGUUGUUCCCGAUGAAUAAAUUUGUUUUUUCA